rnacentral:rRNA from 1 species
AUUGAACGCUGGCGGCAGGCCUAACACAUGCAAGUCGAACGGUAACAGAAAGCAUCUUGCUGCUUUGCUGACGAGUGGCGGACGGGUGAGUAAUGUCUGUGACACUGCCUGAUGGAGGGGGAUAACUACUGGAAACGGUAGCUAAUACCGCAUAACGUCGCAAGACCAAAGAGGGGGACCUUCGGGCCUCUUGCCAUCGGAUGUGCCCAGAUGGGAUUAGCUAGUAGGUGGGGUAACGGCUCACCUAGGCGACGAUCCCUAGCUGGUCUGAGAGGAUGACCAGCCACACUGGAACUGAGACACGGUCCAGACUCCUACGGGAGGCAGCAGUGGGGAAUAUUGCACAAUGGGCGCAAGCCUGAUGCAGCCAUGCCGCGUGUAUGAAGAAGGCCUUCGGGUUGUAAAGUACUUUCAGCGGGGAGGAAGGGAGUAAAGUUAAUACCUUUGCUCAUUGACGUUACCCGCAGAAGAAGCACCGGCUAACUCCGUG